GUUCCUGGGCGCGGGGUCCCGGGAACCCGGCGCUUAGAGACGGGCAUCGUCUAGGUUUAGCCGCCAUGUCCCUGCAGGCUGAUUUUGACAAGGCGGCCAAAGACGUGAGGAAGCCGAAAACCAGGCCAGAUGAUGAGGAACUAAAAGAGAUCUAUGGACUCUACAAACAGUCUGUAACUGGAGACAUAGAUAUUGAGUGUCCAGCACUGUUAGAUCUGAAAGGAAAGGCUAAGUGGGAAGCCUGGAACCUUCAAAAAGGAUUAUCAAAGGAAGAUGCCAUGAGUGCCUAUAUUUCUAAAGCAAAAGAACUAAUAGAAAAAUACGGAAUCUAGAAUUCAGCCCAUGAGAGAAUUUUCCUUUUGAAGCCUUCAUAAUGGUAUUGUGACCUAAUACUUAGGAGAGAAAUGCACUGUAACUCUUGAUGGAUCAUCAAUAUUUUUGCUAGUAACAUGACUUGUCAUUCUGAAUUAGAGGUAUGAUGAAACUACAUGUUUAAUAAAAUUUUACUUGCUAAAA